ACAGCCCAAAGACCGCGACGCUCACCACGCCCAGGACGCUUCGUGCGUCCCUCUUCGUGAGCGGGUACCGUCCGAGCAUACGCGCUCUCCGUUGACUCUUUUGGGUUAUUGGAAUGCGAUGCAAAUCAUCGCGAAUGGUCUCAACAGACCAAGCGACAUACCCAGAGAUGCGAUGGUGUCGCUCGCUGCCGCUGCCGGGUCCACAGCCGUUGGCACGAGAGCUGGCGCCGCCGUCUUGAAAGUUGUCGUGAUAUACGAGCUCACCGGCUGCGACUGGCCACCAGGUCUCCUCCGAGUUUCCUGUUGUGCUGUCCUGUGGGACGGCGCCUUUGAUGCCUUCACCGUUAUGCAUGCUAAGCGGGGUAUCUUAGAGGUGGGCAGUGUGUUGACACUUUCUUAAGCCUAGCAGGAUAGAGGGGCCGGGAUAUGGUCAUUUGUACGCUUGGGAAUUCUUCAGUCCAAUUCGCGGUACUCUGCUGCUUUACCCCCUUGGCGCAGAUGAACUCAAUUCGGACUACUCUUGGACUGU
rnacentral:RNase_P_RNA from 2 species